AUUCCACGAUGAGAGCAUGAUGCAAUGAUGUAGUCCUAGAGAUGCUCCCAAGCUUCCGAUACAGUCUCAUCUUGGAGCUGCUAGAAACUGGAGAUACGAUUCCAAAGGGC
rnacentral:snoRNA from 1 species